AUUUAAAUUAUUAUUAUUUAUUUAAAUUUUAUUUAUUUUAAUAAAAAAAUUUAAUUAGUUUGAUUAUAUUUAUAGAAUAAAUUUUUUUAAUUAUAGAAUAUAGUAUUGUGAAAGAAAUAAAAUUAAAUAUUUCAAAGAAAAUUUUAUUGGUUGUACCUUGUGUAUCAGGGUUUAUUAAUUUAAAUUAAAGUUUUAAUUUUCUCGAAUUUAAAAGAGUUAAGUAAAAAUUUAUUUUAUUGUAGAAUAAAUAUUUAAAAUUUUUAUUUAGUAAUGAAACGUUAUUCGUUUUUAAAUAUAUCUAGUUUUUUAAGAAAUAAAUUUAAUUUAUUGAUUAAUUAAUAUUACGAUAAUUUACUUAUUUUAAUAUUGUUAAUUUAAAAUAUUUUUAGGGAUAAGCUUAAAAAUAAAUUAUUAUAAAUAAUUAAUUUUAAAUAAUUAAUAGGAUUAGAAUUUUUCAUUUAUAAAAAGAUGUUAUAAUCAAUUUUAUUUUAUUUAUUAUUUUUUUUAUUUUUAAAUUUUUUAUUAAAGAAUUAGUUUUAAUUUUUAAAAUUAAGUUAUAAUGAUAAAAUAAGUAUAAAUUAAUGUAAUAAUAAUUUAAUAAUAAAAGUUAAUUAUAAGGAAUUCGGCAAAAAUUUUUCCACCUGUUUAAUAAAAACAUGUCUUUUUGAUAUAUAAUUUAAAGUCUGACCUGCCCAAUGAAAAGUUUAAUGGCCGCAGUAUUUUGACUGUGCAAAGGUAGCAUAAUCAUUAGUUUUUUAAUUGAAAGCUGGAAUGAAUGGUUUGAUGAGAAAAAAUCUGUCUCAUAGUUAUUUAAUUAGAAAUUUAUUUUUAAGUUAAAAAGCUUAAAUGUUUUAAAAAGACGAGAAGACCCUAUAGAGUUUAAAUUUUAUUUAUAUAAAUAAUAUUAGGAUUUAAUAAAUUUUUAUAUUUAUAAAAUAUUUAUUGGGGUGAUAUAAAAAUUUAUUUAACUUUUUAUUUAUUAAAACAUUGAUUUAUGAAUAAUUGAUCCUAAUUUUUAGAUUAAAAGAAAAAAUUACCUUAGGGAUAACAGCGUAAUUUUUUUUAAGAGUUCUUAUCGAAAAAAAAGAUUGCGACCUCGAUGUUGGAUUAAAAUUUAUUUUUGGUGUAGAAGCUAAAAUAUUAGGUCUGUUCGACCUUUAAAAUUUUACAUGAUCUGAGUUUAGACCGGCGUGAGCCAGGUUGGUUUCUAUCUUUUAAUAAAUUUAAUAUUUUAGUACGAAAGGACCAAAUAUUAAAAUUAUAUUUUAAAUUUUUGAAUAAAAUU
rnacentral:rRNA from 1 species